CCCAUGAGAAAGAGGCCAGCGAAGAUGUGUAAACAAGUAUGAGGAGUCCACCAGCAAGGGGCAGCACAGGGGGCCCUGAACUCAGCCUCGGAAUUGCCCUGACCACAUGGCCGCAUGUGGGCACAGCAGCCACAUCUGAAGCUGGGAGCCCACUCAGCCCCCAAGCAAGCACAACCUGCGAGUGUGGAGAGGUGACACUCUAGGAGCCAUCUCCAACCAGUGAAGAGUGAGAGCCAGCAGACACGUCUAGCCACUCAUCCUUUGGAGGGAACAUUCUAGGAGGCAUUCUGCACACUUGCCAACGGUCACAGAAGAAUCGAGCUGCUGCUGCCCAUAGCAGCAACCUUAAUGAUGACACUCAAUGGCUUUUCAUUCUUCCCUGCCUCACUCUCUCCCUUUCCUUUCACCUCUGCUUUUUGAGAUCUCCCAAAUAAACCACCUGCACCAAGUCCUUGUCUCUAGUCUCAGGCUGUAAUUUAAGGGAGCCUAAACUAAGAGAGCAAUAUUAUUAACGUUGAAGUUUCGAAGUAAGAAGCAUUUGAAGGUCCACGCUCAGUCUCGUUAGAAUACCAUCUGCUGCCUGUGCUAUCACCAUUUAUUUCUGAGCCAGAGGAAAGCAGAGUUCCAAAACAGGCUUUGAAAACCCUCUGACCCUCAGGAAAUGGCUGCCAUUCAGUCAGGCUGUGCGAAGGGCUCAGUAAUACAGAAAGCGAACACAGCCUCAUGGGGGCCUUAGUACAGAGACUCAAUUUAGCAGGUGAGAAGGAAUUCCAGUUUAACUCAGGGGAAAGCUAUUAGAUAAUAUUCUUUUCCCUAGUCAGAAUGGUUACGUUGAAAAAAACACACACACAUUGCUUAGGAGGGUUAAUGGAUAAGAAAAGAUUGGGACAAUGAGAUUCUAUAUGAACUAAAACGCUUACAAAUACUGUUACAAUCAUAAAAGCAUGCUGAAUUAUGAAAAUAACAAAGGAGUCCAGGCGCGCUGGCUCACGCCUGUAAUCCCAGCACUGUGGGAGGCCGAGGCAGGUGGAUCAUGAGGUCGAGACCAUCCUGGUCAACAUGGUGAAACCCCUCUCUACUAAAAAUACAAAAAAUUAGCUGGGCAUGGUGGCGCGUGCCUGUAAUCCCAGCUACUCAGGAGGCUGAGGCAGAAGAAUUGCCUGAACCCAGGAGGCAGAGCUUGUGGUGAGCCGAGAUCACGCCAUUGCACUCCAGCCUGGGUAACAAGAGCGAAACUCUGUCUCAAAAAAUAAAUAAAAAAUAACAA
rnacentral:lncRNA from 1 species